rnacentral:rRNA from 1 species
UUGGUUAAGUUAGAAAGGGCGCACGGUGGAUGCCUUGGCACUAGGAGCCGAAGAAGGACGGGACUAACACCGAUAUGCUUUGGGGAGCUGUACGUAAGCGUUGAUCCAGAGAUUUCCGAAUGGGGGAACCCACUAUCUUUAGUCGGAUAGUAUCCUUACGUGAAUACAUAGCGUGAGGAAGGCAGACCCAGGGAACUGAAACAUCUAAGUACCUGGAGGAAGAGAAAGAAAAAUCGAUUUCCUGAGUAGCGGCGAGCGAAACGGAAAGAGCCCAAACCAAGAAGCUUGCUUCUUGGGGUUGUAGGACACUCUAUACGGAGUUACAAAAGAAAGUUAUAAAUGAAGCGGUCUGGAAAGGCCCGCCAAAGACGGUAACAGCCCGGUAGUUGAAAUGGCUUUCCCUCCAGAGUGGAUCCUGAGUACGGCGGAACACGUGAAAUUCCGUCGGAAUCCGGGAGGACCAUCUCCCAAGGCUAAAUACUCCCUAGUGACCGAUAGUGAACCAGUACCGUGAGGGAAAGGUGAAAAGCACCCCGGAAGGGGAGUGAAACAGUUCCUGAAACCGUGUGCCUACAAGUAGUUAGAGCCCGUUAAUGGGUGAUAGCGUGCCUUUUGUAGAAUGAACCGGCGAGUUACGAUUUGUUGCAAGGUUAAGCGGAAAAAGCGGAGCCGUAGCGAAAGCGAGUCUGAAUAGGGCGCAUAAGUAACAGGUCGUAGACCCGAAACCAGGUGAUCUACCCAUGUCCAGGAUGAAGGUAAGGUAAUACUUACUGGAGGUCCGAACCCACGCACGUUGAAAAGUGCGGGGAUGAGGUGUGGGUAGCGGAGAAAUUCCAAUCGAACUUGGAGAUAGCUGGUUCUCUCCGAAAUAGCUUUAGGGCUAGCCUCGAGGUAAAGAGUCAUGGAGGUAGAGCACUGUUUGGACUAGGGGCCCUUCUCGGGUUACCGAAUUCAGAUAAACUCCGAAUGCCAUGUACUUAUACUCGGGAGUCAGACUGCGAGUGAUAAGAUCCGUAGUCGAAAGGGAAACAGCCCAGACCACCAGUUAAGGUCCCCAAAUAUAUGUUAAGUGGAAAAGGAUGUGGGGUUGCUUAGACAACCAGGAUGUUGGCUUAGAAGCAGCCACCAUUGAAAGAGUGCGUAAUAGCUCACUGGUCGAGUGACCCCGCGCCGAAAAUGUACCGGGGCUAAACAUAUUACCGAAACUGUGGAUGAACCUCUUUAGAGGUUCGUGGUAGGAGAGCGUUCUAAGGGCGGUGAAGUCAGACCGGAAGGACUGGUGGAGCGCUUAGAAGUGAGAAUGCCGGUAUGAGUAGCGAAAGAAGGGUGAGAAUCCCUUCCACCGAAUAUCUAAGGUUUCCUGAGGAAGGCUCGUCCGCUCAGGGUUAGUCGGGACCUAAGCCGAGGCCGAUAGGCGUAGGCGAUGGACAACAGGUAGAGAUUCCUGUACCAGUGCUAAUUGUUUAACCGAUGGGGUGACACAGAAGGAUAGGGAAUCGCACGAAUGGAAAUGUGCGUCCAAGCAGUGAGUGUGAGAAGUAGGCAAAUCCGCUUCUCGCGAAGCAUGAGCUGUGAUGGGGAAGGAAAUUAAGUACGGAAGUUCCUGAUUUCACGCUGUCAAGAAAAGCCUCUAGGAAGAGUAGUACUGCCCGUACCGCAAACCGACACAGGUAGAUGAGGAGAGAAUCCUAAGGUGAGCGAGAGAACUCUCGUUAAGGAACUCGGCAAAAUGACCCCGUAACUUCGGGAGAAGGGGUGCUCUAUUAGGGUGCAAGCCCGAGAGAGCCGCAGUGAAUAGGCCCAGGCGACUGUUUAGCAAAAACACAGGUCUCUGCAAAACCGUAAGGUGACGUAUAGGGGCUGACGCCUGCCCGGUGCUGGAAGGUUAAGAGGAGUGCUUAGCUUCGGCGAAGGUACGAAUUGAAGCCCCAGUAAACGGCGGCCGUAACUAUAACGGUCCUAAGGUAGCGAAAUUCCUUGUCGGGUAAGUUCCGACCCGCACGAAAGGCGCAACGAUCUGGGCACUGUCUCAACGAGAGACUCGGUGAAAUUAUAGUACCUGUGAAGAUGCAGGUUACCCGCGACAGGACGGAAAGACCCCGUGGAGCUUUACUGCAACCUGAUAUGGAAUGUUUGUACCGCUUGUACAGGAUAGGUAGGAGCCGAAGAGACGUGUGCGCUAGCAUACGAGGAGGCAAUGGUGGGAUACUACCCUGGCUGUAUGACCAUUCUAACCCGCCACGCUUAGCGCGUGGGGAGACAGUGUCAGGUGGGCAGUUUGACUGGGGCGGUCGCCUCCUAAAGAGUAACGGAGGCGCCCAAAGGUUCCCUCAGAAUGGAUGGAAAUCAUUCGCAGAG